rnacentral:rRNA from 1 species
CACGUAGGCGGCCCUGUAAGUGUGGAGUGAAAUCCCACGGCUCAACCGUGGAACUGCUUCGCAUACUGCAGGUGCUAGAGGACGGUAGGGGAGAGCGGAACUCUUGGUGGAGCGGUGAAAUGCGUAGAUAUCAAGAGGAACACCAGUGGCGAAGGCGGCUCUCUGGUCCGUUUCUGACGCUGAGGUGCGAAAGCCAGGGUAGCGAACG